rnacentral:rRNA from 1 species
AUGUUCUCGACCAUGUCUCUCUCGCGCACCAACAACAUACGGGUCGCCCUCACCAAUGCCCAGAAGGGCUCCCAGACGGUUGCUGCAUAUUUUGGUCAUAUGUGGGCCCUCUCCGACGAGCUCGCGGCAGCGGUCAAGCCGAUCGGCGAGGAUGAACUGCUCUCCUUCAUCAUCGUCGGGUUGGACAUGGAGUACUAGCCCAUCAUCUCGACGCUCGAUGCACGAACAGAACCAGUCUCCGUCGACAUCCUCUUCUCCAUGGUGGCAAAUUCUGAUCAGCGAGUCGAGAUGUUCCAUGGUAGAAACGCCGGAUCCUUCAAAUCAUUGGCGAACUCAGCAUCUCGUGGUCACCGGGGAAACACCAGAAACUACCAAAACUAGCCGAGUGGUGGAGGUGGUGGUGGAUCUCGUGGUGGUGGCGGCCAGUACGGAGGCGGCGGCGGGCAGUAUGGUGGUGGUGGUGGCUACCACAAUAGUGGCAACAACCAGGGCGGUGGCGGUGGCUACCACCCAAACAAUAGUGGUGGCGGCAGCUAUCCUGGUGGCGGCGGCUACCACGGUGGUGGUGGUGGCGGGGCACCCUUGCGGUGGAAACAACACCCCCCCGGCAACAACAAUCGGGGGCGCAAUUUCCAAGGCUAUGAGGGGUAUGAAUGGAAGUGUCAGAUCUGUAAAAAGACAAACCACAUAGCUAAAUAUUGUGAUUGGCGCUAUGCUGAUGACAAUUCUUAAAAGAAAAAAGUUGUUGCCGCUGAUGAUAUGUCAUAUGGUGUAGAUACAAAUUGGUAUAUGGAUACAGGUGCCACCAACCACAUCACGAGCUGGACAAGCUGA